UACGUAGGGGGCCGAGCGUUUGUCCGGAGUUAUUGGGCGUAAAGUGCGCGCAGGCGGCUUGGCGCGCCCGACGUGAAAGCCCCCGGCUUAACCGGGGAGAGUCGUCGGGGACGGCCGGGCUUGAGGGCGGGAGAGGGUGGUGGAAUUCCCGGUGUAGUGGUGAAAUGCGUAGAGAUCGGGAGGAACACCUGUGGCGAAAGGCGGCCACCUGGGCCGACCCUGACGCUGAGGCGCGAAGGCGUGGGGAGCGAACGGGAUUAAGAAACCCUGAGUACGUAC
rnacentral:rRNA from 1 species